rnacentral:rRNA from 1 species
CCUACGGGUGGCUGCAGUAGGGAAUAUUGCGCAAUGGGGGAAACCCUGACGCAGCAACGCCGCGUGAGUGAGGAAGGUCUUCGGAUUGUAAAACUCUUUUGCUAGGGAAAAAUGUCUUUGUGGCUAAUAUCCAUAGAGAGUGAUGGUACCUAAAGAAUAAGGACCGGCUAACUUCGUGCCAGCAGCCGCGGUAAUACGAAGGGUCCAAGCGUUGUUCGGAAUCAUUGGGCGUAAAGCGCGCGCAGGCGGAUCAGUAAGUCAGAUGUGAAAUCUCA